rnacentral:rRNA from 1 species
AGAGUUGAUUCUGGCUCAGGAUGAACGCUAGCGACAGGCCUAACACAUGCAAGUCGAGGGGCAGCACAAGGAGUAAUCUGAGGUGGCGACCGGCGCACGGGUGAGUAACACGUAUGCAACCUGCCUUAAGCGGGGGAUAACCCGGAGAAAUCCGGACUAAUACCGCAUAAUACCUAUUUACUGCAUGGUAAAUAGUUUAAACAUUUAUGGCUUACAGAUGGGCAUGCGUAUGAUUAGCUGGUUGGUGAGGUAACGGCUCACCAAGGCAACGAUCAUUAGGGGUUCUGAGAGGAAGGUCCCCCACACUGGUACUGAGACACGGACCAGACUCCUACGGGAGGCAGCAGUGAGGAAUAUUGGUCAAUGGGCGAGAGCCUGAACCAGCCAAGUCGCGUGAAGGAAAGAAGGUUCUAUGGAUUGUAAACUUCUUUUGCAUGGGAAUAAAGUGAGCUACGUGUAGUUUAUUGUAUGUACUGUGCGAAUAAGGAUCGGCUAACUCCGUGCCAGCCGCCGC